rnacentral:lncRNA from 10 species
UAAAAAAAGUUAAUAUGGAUUUUUCAAGUUUUGUCUCCCUUUGUUCAAUUUCCUUUCUCUCUCUAGGUGUACAUAAAGAAAAAGCAACAUCUGUGAUACUCCUUAUACUACUUUGUGGAAAUCAAUGGAAAUACUGCAAAGCAGAAUAUUACGAUGUAAGGUUGAUCACUGCGAGGCUAGGAAAUAAUGAGAAAACUCCUGCCAUGAAUAGAAUUCUGCCAAGCAGGAAGAAUAUUUGCUGAAGUGGAAGUGGUGGGAAUCUCACGAAGAAGGGGAACAGCCAGU